rnacentral:rRNA from 1 species
CGAACGCUGGCGGCAGGCCUAACACAUGCAAGUCGAGCGAGAAGGUUCUUUCGGGAACUGGAGAGCGGCGGACGGGUUAGUAACGCGUGGGAACGUGCCCUAAAGUCUGGGAUAACUAUUAGAAAUGAUAGCUAAUACCGGAUGGUCCCUUCGGGGUAAAGCUUUAGCGCUUUAGGAUCGGCCCGCGUUAGAUUAGGUAGUUGGUGAGGUAAUGGCUCACCAAGCCUACGAUCUAUAGCUGGUUUGAGAGGAUGAUCAGCAACACUGGAACUGAGACACGGUCCAGACUCCUACGGGAGGCAGCAGUGGGGAAUAUUGCGCAAUGGAGGAAACUCUGACGCAGCCAUGCCGCGUGAGUGAAGAAGGCCUUAGGGUUGUAAAACUCUUUCAACGGUGAAGAUGAUGACGGUAACCGUAGAAGAAGCACCGGCUAACUUC